UUCUUAAAAAUUAUUCUUGAUUGGACAAUUGAGGUCAAAAUUUGUCAUCUUUCUUGAUCUUGAUUUAUUAGAUGUCGUGAGCGCUGGUUCGAUCGUGAAGCAUGGCACGCUUAACUUCAAAAUGACUUUGAACCAUCUUUUUAUAAAAGGAUACUUUUUGAGUUUGAACACCGUGCUAUCAACAGCUUGAGGGAAGAGAUAGAAUGAACGGAGGCGAUUUAAUCCUUCAUUAAGAGAAUGUCACAACUUUGGUUAGUCCUGUGAUGCAGCAAAUCUGUUUACCCUCCCUUUCAAUCACAGAAACAUUCUCGGAGGACAGAUUUGAGAGAAACGUGGUUUGUGAACGAAAAAGCGGUAACAGAACAGCAAUUUCACAAAAAGGCCAUUUAAACAGCCUGUGAGGGUCCAUCACUUAUUUACGAAAGACAGAAUGCUUCAUUGACUAUGAAAGUCGAUAAGGCGUUGUAUAGUUACCAGCCCCUACACGAUCUACCUGAUCUUGACGUCACCUCAAGUUCUCGGCCUAUCCAUGUAUUGGAAGAAAAAGUUAACAACGUAUAUUAAUUUUGAAUGUGUUCAGUUCUAGACCACUAAACACGCUUGUGUUUGAUUGGGGGCUGUGCAGCAACAUUCCAAGCUACUGAAGUGUGUGAAUCCACGGUUAAGUGGCUUCGAGACCCAAACGAAGGGUGACUUCAAAGAAGCACUGCCUAGGCAGAAAGCACGGUCGGUGAAAAAGUUCCUCUGAUAUAAUUAAACUUCUGAUACAACCGUACUUGUCAUCAGCCUACACAAGGGAAUGUGAAGAACGCUCACGCCUCUGAAUUUGAAGAACGGAUCUAAUAGCUAUGUUACAAUUCAGCUUUUAGUUGGUAGUUUAAAAUAACGAAACCAAAAC